rnacentral:rRNA from 1 species
CACACUGUUUAACGGCCGCGGUAUUUUGACCGUGCGAAGGUAGCGCAAUCACUUGUCUUUUAAAUGUAGACCUGUAUGAAUGGCGCGACGAGGGCUUAGCUGUCUCCUCCCCCAUGUCAGUGAAAUUGAUCUUCCCGUGCAGAAGCGGGACUAGAACCAUAAGACGAGAAGACCCUGUGGAGCUUUAGACACUAGGGAGCCCUUUAACCACCCUGCUCGAGCAGGAAACCCUCAGGACUCCUCCCCUACUUGUCU